rnacentral:rRNA from 1 species
UACUCGAGUGGCGAACGGGUGAGUAACACGUGGGUGAUCUGCCCUGCACUCUGGGAUAAGUCUGGGAAACUGGGUCUAAUACCGGAUAGGACCAUGCUUUAGUGUGUGUGGUGGAAAGUUUUUUCGGUGUAGGAUGAGCCCGCGGCCUAUCAGCUUGUUGGUGGGGUAAUGGCCUACCAAGGCGGCGACGGGUAGCCGGACUGAGAGGUUGGUCGGCCACAUUGGGACUGAGAUACGGCCCAG